rnacentral:rRNA from 1 species
GCUAAUACCGGAUAACAUGUUGAACCGCAUGGUUCAACAGUGAAAGACGGUCUUGCUGUCACUUAUAGAUGGAUCCGCGCCGCAUUAGCUAGUUGGUAAGGUAACGGCUUACCAAGGCAACGAUGCGUAGCCGACCUGAGAGGGUGAUCGGCCACACGGGAACUGAGACACGGUCCAG